UUUUAGAUGAGGGAAGGGUAAGAGGCGUGGGAAACCUGCCCUACACAGGGGGAUAACGGAGAGAAAAUUUCCGCUAACACUGCAUAAGACCACAGCACCGCAUGUGCAGGGGUAAAAUAUUUAUAGGUAUAAGAUGGAUCCGCGUCCGAUUAGCUAGUUGGUGGGGUAAAGGCCCACCAGGGCGACGAUCGGUAGCCGGCCUGAGAGGGUGAACGGCCACAUUGGGACUGAGACACGGCCCAAACUCCUACGGGAGGCAGCAGUGGGGAAUAUUGGACAAUGGGGGAAACCCUGAUCCAGCGACGCCGUGUGAGUGAAGAAGUAUUUCGGUAUGUAAAGCUCUAUCAGCAGGGAAGAAAAUGACGGUACCUGACUAAGAAGCCCCGGCUAACUACGUGCCAGCAGCCGCGGUAAUACGUAGGGGGCAAGCGUUAUCCGGAUUUACUGGGUGUAAAGGGAGCGCAGACGGCAAUGCAAGUCUGAAGUGAAAGGCGUGGGCUCAACCCAUGAACUGCUUUGGAAACUGUAUAGCUUGAGUGUCGGAGGGGUAAGCGGAAUUCCUAGUGUAGCGGUGAAAUGCGUAGAUAUUAGGAGGAACACCGGAGGCGAAGGCGGCCCCCUGGACAAAGACUGACGCUCAGGUGCGAAAGCGUGGGGAGCAAACAGG
rnacentral:rRNA from 1 species